rnacentral:rRNA from 1 species
AAUUACCCAUUCCGACACGGGGAGGUAGUGACGAAAAAUAACAAUACAGGACUCAAACGAGGCCCUGUAAUUGGAAUGAGUACAUUCUAAAACUCUUAACGAGUAUCCAUUGGAGGGCAAGUCUGGUGCCAGCAGCCGCGGUAAUUCCAGCUCCAACAGUGUAUGCUAAAGUUGUUGCGGUUGAAAAGCUCGUAGUUGGAUUUUGGGUGGGCGCAGUCGGUCCGUCGCAGGGCGUGCUACUGGCUGCGCUCGCCUCGCCUUCGGUUCUCCGUCGGUGCUCUUGACUGAGUGUCGUCGGUGGCCGAUAAGUUUACUUUGAAAAAAUUAGAGUGUUCAAAGCAGGCUGCUCGCCUGAAUAGUGUUGCAUGGAAUAAUGGAAUAGGACCUCGGUUCUAUUUUGUUGGUUUUCGGAGCGCGAGGUAAUGAUUAAGAGGGACAGACGGGGGCGUCCGUACUCUGCCGUUAGAGGUGAAAUUCUUGGAUCGGCGGAAGACGAACUACUGCGAAAGCAUUCGCCAAGAAUGUUUUCUUUAAUCAAGAGCGAAAGUCAGAGGUUCGAAGACGAUCAGAUACCGUCCUAGUUCUGACUAUAAACGAUGCCAACUAGCGAUCGGGAGGCGUUACCAUGACGACCUUCCCGGCAGCUUCCGGGAAACCAAAGUCUUUGGGUUCCGGGGGAAGUAUGGUUGCAAAGCUGAAACUUAAAGGAAUUGACGGAAGGGCACCACCAGGAGUGGAGCCUGCGGCUUAAUUUGACUCAACACGGGGAAACUCACCCGGCCCGGACACAGGUAGGAUUGACAGAUGAGAGCUCU